rnacentral:rRNA from 1 species
GACGAACGCUGGCGGCGUGCCUAAUACAUGCAAGUUGAGCGCUGAAGGCUGGUACUUGUGCCAACUGGAUGAGCAGCGGACGGGUGAGUAACGCGUGGGGAAUCUGCCUUUGAGCGGGGGACAACAUUUGGAAACGAAUGCUAAUACCGCAUAAAAACUUUAAACACAAGUUUUAAGUUUGAAAGAUGCAAUUGCAUCACUCAAAGAUGAUCCCGCGUUGUAUUAGCUAGUUGGUGAGGUAAAGGCUCACCAAGGCGAGGAUACAUAGCCGACCUGAGAGGGUGCUCGGCACAGCUGGGACUGGGGGACGGCCCGAAAUCCUGGGAGAGGCAGCCGGAGGGGACUUUUGGGAGUGGCAGAAAGGCUGAACGAGCGACGCCGCGUGAGUGAAGGAGGUUGUCAGAUCGUGAAAGUCUGGUGGUAGAGAAGAUCGUUGGGGAGAGUGGAAAGCUAAUCAAGUGACGGUACCUACACAGAAAGCGACGGCUAACUACGUG